GACGAACGCUGGCGGCGUGCUUAACACAUGCAAGUCGAACGGAAAGGCCCUGCUUUUGUGGGGUGCUCGAGUGGCGAACGGGUGAGUAACACGUGAGUAACCUGCCCUUGACUUUGGGAUAACUUCAGGAAACUGGGGCUAAUACCGGAUAGGAGCUCCUGCUGCAUGGUGGGGGUUGGAAAGUUUCGGCGGUUGGGGAUGGACUCGCGGCUUAUCAGCUUGUUGGUGGGGUAGUGGCUUACCAAGGCUUUGACGGGUAGCCGGCCUGAGAGGGUGACCGGCCACAUUGGGACUGAGAUACGGCCCAGACUCCUACGGGAGGCAGCAGUGGGGAAUAUUGCACAAUGGGCGGAAGCCUGAUGCAGCAACGCCGCAAGCGGGAUGACGGCCUUCGGGUUGUAAACCGCUUUCGCCUGUGACGAAGCGUGAGUGACGGUAAUGGGUAAAGAAGCACCGGCUAACUACGUG
rnacentral:rRNA from 1 species